UACGGGGGGAGCAAGCGUUGUUCGGAUUUACUGGGCGUAAAGGGCGCGUAGGCGGCCAGCACACGUCAGUUGUGAAAUCUCCGAGCUUAACUCGGAAAGGUCAACUGAUACUGUGCGGCUAGAGUGCGGAAGGGGCAACUGGAAUUCUUGGUGUAGCGGUGAAAUGCGUAGAUAUCAAGAGGAACACCUGCGGCGAAGGCGGGUUGCUGGGCCGACACUGACGCUGAGGAGCGAAAGCUAGGGGAGCAAACGGG
rnacentral:rRNA from 1 species